CUCCAAGCCAAUGUGCAGCCUGACUCUGGGGCCAGCGCCUGAGGAAGCCCUCCCUGAGCCCCAGCCCUGGGGAAGGCUGAAGAGGCCUCUGAGCCCCCAGCGCUGGGGAGAGCUGUGCAGAAUAGGACUGGAGGUGGAAGUGUUGGAGAUUAACAGCCAGGUGGAGGGGACGGGGGAGGCCCUGGGUCAGUCCUCAGGGAACCCCCAUUGUGAAGGGGGAAAGGGAAACUCAGGCCCAGUCCUCAGGGGCCCCCAGUCUGAGAGGAAGGAGGACACACGAGCCAUAUUUGCAGAGAAACACCAGCCUGCGAGAGGAGGUAGAAGCCCAGGCCUGGCCCUCCGAGGGCCCCUAGUCUGAGGAGCAGUCCACCUGUCCUCGGGAAAACACCUCCCUUAGGAAAGGCCAGCAAGGCCCCCGUAAAGGACCCAGAGCUGGAUCGGGACAUCGGGCUCGGGGCUCAGCGGUGUGGGAGCUCCGGGACCGAGGUGCAGUCAGGAGAGACCCUGGGGGCCAGCAGCAGUCCCAGAGGACUUUUGGAGCCAAGGCCUGACUGGGUCUCAAACAAUGGGGCAGGCAGUUUGGGGUUUCAGCAGGUGGCCCAGUGCUGAGACACAAGGGAGGUGUUUCUGGUCUGCAGACACUGAGGACGCUUGCUAUGUGGCGUGGUGGACGGUGGGGCUUGACCCUGGGGACUGAGAGGUGGAGAAGACACAGUCCCAUCUGUCUCACGGCAGAGACAGGGUUUCACUCCCGUCACCCAGACUGGAGUACAAUGGUG
rnacentral:lncRNA from 1 species